rnacentral:lncRNA from 1 species
ACAGCUGCUGGAAAAACAAUAGAGAACAAUGUGGAGGAAAGCAGUCGGGGUGGAGCAGGGCUUCUGAUCUCACUGCAGCUGGGUAACAGCAUGUGAAUUCGGGCAAGAGACAGACACCAAGAAUUAACAAUUCACAGAACCUGCUCUGAUGGACCAGCACUGAGAGGACCCACAGUCCUGCAGCAAACACAUCAUCAGACAGUUACAGGAAGAACAGGAGGACCUAUGGGUAUAAUCCUGCCUAUUACACUGACAGCCAGCCAUAUCCCAGCAGGCAGUCAGGGGUGUGGAAGGGAUACAAACUCACGGCUUGACUACUCCAAGGGCACCUGUGUAUCCAGGCCAGCAAUGACAAAUACAGCUGUCAGCAGUGUCUUUACAUGCUGCGUCAUGGUGACAAGGCUUUGACCAACAAAGAGGCAUCAAGGUCACACGGUGUGUCCCUGUGAAUCCGAUAUCCUUGCAGACACAAUGGGAGUUGUUUCCUCCAUCCACACAUAGACCUUCAUGGGGACAUGGCUAAUGGGGGGGGGGUGUUGCCAAGCUGUCCUCAGGGCAUCUAUACAGACACAUUGCUUGCAUGGCUGCCCUUCUCCUUCAACCCCCUCGGUGCCUCAGGCUAUGGUUGUAUCUGUCAGCCUGGAUUCGAAGCCAGAAGUCUAGCAUAACUGUCCUCUGAGAGACUCCACCCAGCAGCUGGUUGAAACAGAUGCAGAGACCCCGACCAAACAUCAAACAGAACUCCAGGAAAGUCUUGUGAAAGAGUUGGAGAAAGGUUUGAGGAGCCUGGAGGGGAUAGGAACUCCACAGGAAGACCAACAGAGUCAACUAGCCUAGACCCUUGGGGCUCCCAGAGACUGAGCCACCAACCAAAGAACAUACACAGGCUGGACCUCCUCACAUAUAUGUAGCAGAUGUGCAAUUUGGUCUUCAUUGUGGGUCCCUGCAUAAUUAUACUGAGAAUAACUUGUCAACUACAUUGGAGCAUGUCUAGGGGACAGAGUCUUUGUGGUCUCAUGAGCUUGAGCUCCAUGCGUGAUUGGUCAUGUAUGAUUAGGGAUAUAACAUACUCGGCUUUGGUUGAUCAUCAUUGAGAAGACCACACAUCUCUGAUCGGAGGCAGUGAAGCAAACGGUUGACUUAGAGAGCUUUAUUUAAUGUGUGAUUCAGAUAGGAUGAAUGAAUAUAAAUUGCUGUGUUGAUACUGAAGUCCUGAGAAACAGAGCCUCAAGGAGCCUCAGCUUGACUCCUACAAUUCUUUUGAGCAAGAAGACGCAGAGCCUUUCUUCAUUCGAGUCGUACUUUCUUACAUGUCUGUGCCUUCACCCUGUUCGGACCCCCGAGAAAGCAGAUGAUGCCAAGUCACUGCUUGCCCUGCCCUCCCGCUUACUCCCGAGACCUUGUGAAGGUUCUUGUCAAGUCUGGGUGAUGGAAAGAGCACAUUUGUGUUUGCUGGAAGUAUCACAGGGGACACUGCGAGGGGGAGCACUUGAAAACUUUCAGACAACAGAGGCCCCAUGACCUCCACCCUGUGACGUCAUUAUCACCUAUCAUCUAACUAAAAUGUUUGGGAAAC